rnacentral:misc_RNA from 1 species
CGCACAUUGCGCCCUUCGGUAUUCCGGAGGGCAUGCCUGUUCGAGCGUCAUUACACCUCUCAAGCGUAGCUUGGUAUUGGGCCCCGCCUGCUCGAGGCGUGCCCGAAAAUCAGUGGCGGUCCGGUGUGACUUCAAGCGUAUUAAUAAAAUUUCUCCUCGCUUUGGAAGCUCUCCCCGCGGCCGGCCAGCGGACCCCCCAUUCUAUGAAUUGACCUCGGAUCAGGUAGGGAUACCCGCUGAACUUAA